rnacentral:misc_RNA from 1 species
AGAGAAAGAAGAAGAAUUAUCUUGACAGAAAAAAUGGGGAGGAAGAAUGGAGUACAGUUCGAUGAAGGAGCACCCGAUGAUUUCGACCAGAAUAACCCGUACAAGGAUCCGGUAGCUUUCUUAGAGAUGCGGGAGCAUUUGGUGAGGGAGAAGUGGAUCGACAUUGAAAAAGCCAAGAUCCUCCGUGAAAAGCUCCGUUGGUGCUACCGUAUCGAAGGUGUUAACCAUCUUCAGAAGUGCCGCCACCUUGUUCAGCAGUAUCUUGAUGCAACCCGUGGUAUUGGGUGGGGCAAGGACCUUCGUCCUCCCUUUAUGCAUGGGCCUAAGGUGGUUGAAGCUGUUGAGUCCGAAUGAUUCUGCUAUCUUAGAUUUGUAUUUCCAGCUGAAAGUAUAAACUUCAGAGGUUGUUGGGCUUAACAACUAGUGAAUUUCAAUGUAUCACUGCUUCUGUUAUUCACUGCUUAAGACCUGAUUUUUAGUUUCCUGUCGUGUGAAAAACGAAAUCGGUUUGCAAUGGCUUUAACUUCAGCCUCGUACUUUUUUUUUUCUGAGGGAAACUGUAUUUCAUAGUGGAAAUAAAGAAAAAACUCAGUGUCUUCCUUAUUGGUGUCCUAGUCUUUGUUUUAUGCUUUCUCUAUCUUGCGUGUAGUGUUGGUCAUUAGUCAUGAUUAGAGGCUGGUAUUUUUGUAUUCUGUGUUGUAAUAUUGGAAGCUCUUGAGAAA